rnacentral:rRNA from 1 species
GACGAACGCUGGCGGCGUGCCUAACACAUGCAAGUCGAACGAACAGACCAUGCUCUUGCUGCUCUCACGUUAGCGGCGGACGGGUGAGUAACACGUGGAUAACCCACCUAUAAGACUGGUAUAACUUCGGGAAACCGGAGCUAAUACCGGAUAAUAUAUUGAACCGCAUGGUUCAAUAGUGAAAGACGGUUUUGCUGUCACUUCUAGCUGGAUCCGCGCUGCAUUAGCUAGUUGGUAAGGUAACGGCUUACGAAGGCAACGAUGCGUAGCCGACCGGAGAGGGGGAUCGGCGACACUGGAGGUGAGACGCGGUCCAGAGUCCUACGGGAGGCAGCAGUAGGGAAUCUUCCGCAAUGGGGGAAAGCCUGACGGAGCAACGCAGCGUGAGUGAUGAAGGUCUUCGGAUCGUAAAACUCUGUUAUGAGGGAAGAACAAAUGUGUAAGUAACUAUGCACGUCGUGACGGUACCUAAUCAGAAAGCCACGGCUAACUACGUG